UCUCUGGUGGUGUAGUGGUUCGGCUUCGGCGCUGUCACCGCUGCGGCCCGGGUUUGAUUCCCGGUCAAGGAA